AAAAUGACCAUUUUACCCCUAAGUCUGAAAAUCGAUUUUUAUCGAAUUUCUUCAUAUCUUAAGCUUAGCUGAACCCUUUCUACUCUUAUAUCAACUCCAAAUUUCCACUAUUUCACAUAUUUAACAUCUAUUUUACAACUUAUGCAAAAUAGUCCUUUUAGGUGUUUUUAUACUAACACCCUUCACAAAAGUUGUUCAUAACACCCCAAGACUUAUUUUCGUCCAUAAAAACUCAAAAAAUAUUACAAAUGCUUUCAUGGAAAA
rnacentral:lncRNA from 1 species